UAUGGAAUAGCGAUAUCGCCAACAACGCGCUUCACACACGUGUACAAACAUACAACACGUCGCCAAUUGGGGUAUCUAUUGUUCCUUACUUCCUUCCUAAAAAGUUUUACCCUAAGAAUUUUGAUUGAUGUGGUAAAAGAAGGCCUUGUGCAAAGAAAGUCUAAAUUACUCUGGGAUACGGCAUAAAAUAUAAAGAGUUUCAUGCGCACUGAACAUCUGGCAUCCUUUCCAGGCAAGAAGCGGAAAGCGGUAGCAUUCCUCCAGAAUCAAUAACAUUGGUAUGCUGUUGAGUGGAAACUCACUGGUGAGCACCCUGUGUUGAGAUCUGCCCUGCAUUCCAUUCUGUGACACGUGGUCAACGAGUAAAUGACAGGAGUGGGUGGAAGGUUUGAUUUUCCCCUCCCCUCCCCUUCCCUCCCCUCCC